GGGUUCAUGGCCUAAUGGUAAGGCGUCAGAUUUCGGUUCACCAACCGGUCCUCUGAAGAUUGCAGGUUCGAUCCCUGCUGAGCUCG